UGAUGAUUAUGGCGUUGAUGGUGGUGAUCAUUAUGGUUUCGAUUACUAUGGUGUUGAUGAUGAUGUUGAUGAUGCAUGAUGGUGAUGCGGUGUUGACAAUGAUGGUGAUGAUGAAGGUCGUAAUGAUGGUGAUAGCGGUGAUCAUUGUGAUUAUGGUGGUAUGGAGAUUAUGCUAAUGAUGGUUAAGACGAUAAUUGUAGUAGUGGUGACAUACAUAGUUAAGCAGAGAUCUUGCCUUUCC